rnacentral:misc_RNA from 1 species
GUCACUUCUCUCUAUUCCUUUGUCUUUCAUUUGUUCUCUCUUCUCUUCUGUGGAGGAAACUGAACUAAAAACAACCCAAAACUUCAAUUGCAAUGGCUCUCAAGCUCAAUUCUUUCAUUUCUCAAUCUCACAAGUUGCCUUAUCUCGCCUUCCCAUCAAUAGCCAGCCUCAGAUCUCCUAAGUUCUACAUGGCCUCUACGCUCAAGUCUGGCUCCAAGGAGGUUCAGAAUCUCAAGAAGCCUUUUAUGCCUCAUCGGCAGGUUCAUGUUCAGGUUACCCAUUCUGUGCCCGCCCACAAGAUCGAGAUUUUUAAAUCUGUAGAGGAUUGGGUGGGGCAGAACAUCCUGGUUCAUUUGAACCCAGUUGAGAAGUGUUGGCAACCACAGGAUUUUUUGCCAGAUCCUGCCUCUGAUGGAUUUGAAGAACAAGUCAAGGAACUUAGGGAGAGAGCAAAGGAGAUUCCAGAUGAUUGCUUAGUUGUUUUGGUUGGAGACAUGAUCACUGAAGAAGCUCUUCCCACUUAUCAAACCAUGCUGAACACCUUGGAUGGAGUUCGGGAUGAAACAGGUGCAAGCCUUACUCCCUGGGCAAUUUGGACAAGGGAAUGGACUGCGGAAGAGAAUAGACAUGGUGACCUCCUCAAUAAGUAUCUCUACUUAUCUGGACGAGUGGACAUGAGGCAAAUUGAGAAGACAAUUCAAUAUUUGAUUGGGUCCGGAAUGGAUCCACAAAUGGAAAACAGUCCAUACCAUGGUUUCAUCUACACGUCGUUCCAAGAAAGGGCAACCUUCAUUUCCCAUGGCAACACUGCCAGACUUGCCAAAGAACAUGGAGACAUAAAAUUGGCUCAAAUAUGCGGUACAAUUGCCUCAGAUGAGAAGCGCCAUGAGACAGCAUACACAAAGAUAGUGGAAAAACUCUUUGAGAUUGAUCCUGAUGGAACUGUUAUGGCUUUUGCUGACAUGAUGAGAAAGAAAAUUUCUAUGCCUGCACACUUGAUGUAUGAUGGCCUUGAUGACAAUCUUUUUGACCACUUUUCAGCUGUUGCACAGCGGCUUGGGGUCUACACUGCAAAGGACUAUGCAGAUAUAUUGGAGUUCUUGGUGGGCAGAUGGAAGGUGGAUAAGCUAACAGGACUAUCAUCUGAGGGACAAAAGGCUCAAGAUUACGUUUGCAGGUUACCUCCAAGAAUUAGAAGGCUGGAAGAGAGAGCUCAAGGAAGGGCCAAGGAAGCAACCACAAUUCCAUUCAGUUGGAUUUUCGAUAGAGAAGUGAAGUUAUAAGUGCAGAAUGGAAUACAAAUGGUUUGUGGACGCUUUUUCAUAGACCUCAUAUCAGAGUCAGAUGUAGAGGUAGAAUUUUAGUUGCAUUUUGUUUACAAAUCCAGUUUAGUUCAACUUCUGUGGAAGGAGAGUUUGAUGGGGAAUGAAUUUGUAAGUUGUAGAUGCAGUUGUUUCUUAUGUGUUGUCAAGAGUAUGGUGAUAGGGGGCAGCUGUAGUUUUAAUAUUUGUGUUUCUUUUGCGUGGUUUCUUGUACUAGUUUGUUUUUGUCCCAAGUGUCUCGAGUAUAAGCACACAAUCCUUGUGGAAGU